CCGAGUUUACAACUCCCAAACCCAUGUGAACAUACCUAUUGUUGCUUCGGCGGGAUGCCCCCGGCGCCUCUGCGUGCCCGGGAGUCAGGCCCCCGCCGGAGGACCCAAACUCUUGUUUUUAUAUAGAACUUCUGAGUGGAUUAUUAUAAAUAAUUA
rnacentral:misc_RNA from 1 species